rnacentral:rRNA from 1 species
GAUGAACGCUGGCGGCGUGCCUAAUACAUGCAAGUCGAGCGAACAGACGAGGAGCUUGCUCCUCUGACGUUAGCGGCGGACGGGUGAGUAACACGUGCAUAACCUACCUAUAAGACUGGGAUAACUUCGGGAAACCGGAGCUAAUACCGGAUAAUAUAUUGAACCGCAUGGUUCAAUAGUGAAAGACGGUUUUGCUGUCACUUAUAGAUGGAUCCGCGCCGCAUUAGCUAGUUGGUAAGGUAACGGCUUACCAAGGCAACGAUGCGUAGCCGACCUGAGAGGGUGAUCGGCCACACUGGAACUGAGACACGGUCCAGACUCCUACGGGAGGCAGCAGUAGGGAAUCUUCCGCAAUGGGCGAAAGCUUGACGGAGCAACGCCGCGUGAGUGAUGAAGGUCUUCGGAUCGUAAAACUCUGUUAUUAGGGAAGAACAAAUGUGUAAGUAACUAUGCACGUCUUGACGGUACCUAAUCAGAAAGCCACGGCUAACUACGUG